GGUCCUGUAGUCCAAUGGUAAGACGCCUCCUUGACGUGGAAGUAACCCAAGUUCAAUUCUUGGCAGGACCA
rnacentral:tRNA from 1 species